UACAGAGGGUGCGAGCGUUAAUCGGAAUUACUGGGCGUAAAGCGCACGUAGGUGGAAUGGCAAGUCAGUCGUAAAAGCCCCGGGCUCAACCUGGGAAAGUCGAUUGAAACUGCCAAUCUAGAGUAUAGUAGAGGGUAGAGGAAUUUCCGGUGUAGCGGUAAAAUGCGUAGAUAUCGGAAGGAACAUCAGUGGCGAAGGCGUCUACCUGGACUAAUACUGACACUGAGGAGCGAAAGCGUGGGUAGCAAACAGG
rnacentral:rRNA from 1 species